UCUUCAGUCCACGCCACCAUCCUCUCCCCGGCUCCACUCCACCUCCCGAGGGCACGCCGCCGCCGCUCCAUCGCCUCCUGGCGCAGCGGUUACCCCGUCGUCUCUCCUCAGGUGGCUCCUCUUCCUAUCUCCUCUAACUACUCCAUCGAUCCCCACCUCUGCACCCUCUAUCCAGGCUUCACGAGAGCUUUCUUGCCCCCAUCCAACUAGGUUGUAGCGACCGAGAAAGACGGUGAGGGGUCGAGGCCAUUGGUGCUGGACCUCCUGGAGGCGUCACCGACGGGCCAGAGGCCUCCGGCUGAUGGGGAGGAGAAUACCUCCGCCGGGGUGGGGGCAAACCCUAGCGCGGUAGAUCCAUGUGCUGAAGCGUUUGUGGUGGUGAGAUUAAUUAUGGGCUUUGAGUAUCAACAAUGAAUGUUAUUAAACUUCAUGUUCAGCAAUUCUGAUCAGAGCAGGUAUGUGUGCAUCAUUUUUCUUGUAUUACUUGCAGUUAUAAAUAUUCGGCAAGUGCUCGGCUCAGCUACUUAUGUGCUCAAUAUAUUACUCUCCUUUUUGUAGAAACACAAAGCUGAUUGUUCCAAUGUUAUAUUUAUUAGAAGUAAUAAUAGCGGCAGCGGAAUGCCUUUUUUCUACCACUGAUUGGUGACAUAAUCGAUUCAUAUAAUUAAAACACAGAUAACUAUUCUGCUGGUUUCCAUUUUUUUUCUUGUGUCCAUAUUGUAAUAUGUUCAUUUGGAACUGCAUGAUACACAUGAAUUUGCUCAUAUCACCUUUUCAUUCUUCUCUCCUCAAACUUCUUCAUUGUUGUGGUUUAUGUUGCUCUGAAUAUUGCUUUACCAGAUAAUAUUUUCGCUCAUCCCUAGAGCCUUCACAUGUGAUAGGUGGUUUAUGAGAUUGCAAUCAAUCUGAUAUACACUUGCGUUUGAACAGGACCUUUUCAUGAAUGAAACUGUCAUCGGUAAUCUGAGGAAGCUAACUAAGGUAAGCUUCAGUGCUUCUUUUCCAGAGAUUUUUCAUAUUAGGUUCAGGCCAUGCCUCACAUAUUUAAUUUGUAUUUCGUUUAACGAUAUCUCAUUCUUUAUAGCAGUACAAGCAUAGUGUAGUAGUUCUAUUUUAAUCGCCUGAUUACAUUUAGAUGAAGUCUAAUCCUGGAGAGUAAGCUGGUUGUAUUGGCACUAUUUGGCUACACUGAUCAACCUCAUGUUGUGCAUUUUCUGUAGUGUUAGUGUAGCUCUCCUCAUGUAACCUGUUGUGGUGUUUUUUCUGUUUCAGCUCUACCUGUUUAUGAGAUACCCUUUCUAGCUCACUUUCUUCCUGAUAAAGUUGCCUGUGAGGCCCUUCAAGUGCUAUCAUAAUGGCAUGAGUUAUCUAUCAGAUUGUAGGGUCAUCUGCUAUUAAGAGGUUAAAUGGAACUAGGAUGCAGUACUUGGAAUCUUGGAUACACUCUAGAAGAUAAAAAAGAAGGCCCCGUGUUAAUUAGAAAAUAGGGAAGACGUGGGAUAUCAAGGAGGAAGGCUACUGUUGUGGUGGCUCGGCCUGUCAUGGACAAAGUGUGCCCCUCUUCCCACCCAGUUGUUUAUGAUUCAGGUACAUCUGAUGUUACCCUCUAAUUAUUUUGGUUUAGGUGUAAUUUUGAGGAAGAAGAUGAAGUUCGAUGUUCCAGGUUCCAUGUGAAUACUCGAAUACCAAACAUAAGCUGAUAUUGGGUUGUAAUUUCCAGGUCUACUCUUGUUGAUAUUCACUCCUGCUUUUCUUUGAUGAUUUGCUUAUGCUUCAUGUCCUCUGUUGGAAACACAAUGCGACGCCUCGCUGGUUAAUGGUGAUUGGUGAAUGCAGUCCUAGCAUAGUACACAUGAUUUUAUUGUUAUUAGCAUUGUUUUGCUUGCAGUCAAGAGUUUCCAGCCUUUAGGUAUAUAUAUGUAUGACUAUACAUACAGUUGUUCAAGUAUUCUUUAAUUGAAUACGUGUGCUGCCUCGUUUGCAGUUUACUUACCGGUUAUCCUUCCGUGAUGUUUUCGCUCAAUACAAACAGAGAAAACUUUAUCCUCACUGCUACCAACCCUCGGCGAGAUGUUCUUUUCAUCUAAUAUUUCUAUAUGGUUAUGAGCAUGUUAGUACGUUCUUCCGCAGUUCCUCUUCCUCUAUAGUCUGUUGUUGCGCCUGGUGCACUCUGCUCCUACAGAACUGCAGGUUAGUCUCCGGUUCCGCCUCUGUGCCGAAUCUUGGUCCUGCCGUUUUGAAGCUACUUGUCCACCAGAUCCUUCACGGGAUGCGGCCUUAAGUAAGGUCUGUGCUGCAGGAAGUGGUAGGUAGGAGCACGUGGUGAGGACAUGCUAGCAGCUCUUUCUAUAUGUCUCUCUCUCUCUGUGGAUUCGUUCAUAUGGUGCUGAUCUUGUUUCCAUGGCAGUGAUGACAUAUUUAUUAUAUCAUUUCAUCCUUACAAUUUCUUUUUUACAAUUUUUCAUCCACAACAUACAUGAUCCCCUCUCCUCCGCCGGCAAUAAACUUCACAAGUCACAUCUACUUUGCUAGCAUACAUUUCUCCUCUUUUACUGUCUAUUCUUCUAUGAUGAUGUUAGUGAAUGAAGUGCUCGAUUUUGCAAAUAUUUGAUUUUAAUGAUGGCAUUAGAUUGGCUCCUUACUGAAUGAGAAAGUGUUCCUUAGUUCUGUUGUUACACAUCUAAUAGCUCCUUACUGUAUUGAAAAGAGGUAGAUUGCAACUUCUCAUGUCCAAGAUGAAAGUUGAAGUUGUUGUGGAGAUUGAUAAAUUAUUGAGUAUUCUAGAUUUUGAAAUUAUCCGAGAAUCUUUUGUAACCUGAAUACGUGUUAGAACAAAGUUCUGUACUUCAGAGUAGGAGAAACACAUCAAUUUAUCAACACUAGCUGAAUACGUUUUAGUUAGUUGGUUCUUUCUUUUAUUUUGCUUCAUGUUUGUUCUGGUCUACGGAGUAGCUUCCAAAAGAUAUAUCAUGUUUAGAUCAUACCAAGGGGUUGGUUUGUUGCUCAUUUUCCAUACCUUAGGUGUGUAUUGCCUUUCCUAUCAGUUCUCAGUGCUACAAACUGACGUGUAGUAGUAUUGUUAGUAGAUACUCUGCCUUAGUACAAGUAAUCGUGUCUUUGUUAAACUUGCGGCACCAAGAAAAGUACUUAAAUACAAAGUGUUAUGAUUCAAUUUGUUUCCCGUGAACCUCUUGAUCUUUUCUAUUUUGCAGGGUUCUUAAUUGUGUUGGACCACAUGAGAAUUUCCGAUAUGGAUACAAUUCCUUAAUUUAAUGGCAUGUGGUAAGUGGAUAUAUUUAGAAAUGAGCUUGCCAUGGACCAGCUAUCCCACAACAGGUUGUGCACCGUAAGUUGUUGCUGAUGUUCGGUGAGCCAGGGUCUUUCUGCCAUGUCAACAAGGAAACAUGAGCUUCUGUUCAAUUAUAUUUGAGUGCUCACACUUCUUGCUGGUGACUUCAUAUAUGAGCCUACAACUAUAUGUGCGGACUUGAAAAUGACCCGCUGGGAUGCAAGUCUAUGUCACCAGGUGGUUCUUUUAAACUAUUUGUAAGAGCCCUCCUGGGCCCCUCCAAGUUCCCAUUAGAAGUCGCGAGAAGAUAACGACAAAUCCGUGAAUCAUCUCAAAGGUCUCCAUUGAUAUGGCUAUGAUAAGAAUGGUUCUAAGGUAUGGUGAGCAGAAGCAAAUUGACACCGUCGAAGUGUGUGUCGUGUGCCUAGCUCAGGUUUUGCAAUGCACUUGAGAAAACGAGGAAGGCUGAUUCUCUGUUUUUUUGUUUUGUUUUUCCAUUGUCGCUUAGGAAUUAGUAUAGAGGGGAACAAUAUUUACCUAUCAGAAAACAAUUUUUUGAUGCUACCUCUUCGUUUUGCAUCCUGUUGUAAGUUUGAUCAUAAGCUGGGUUACAUCAAUGCAUUAUUCUGUCAUAAAGUGUAUAAGCUAA